UACGGAGGGGGCUAGCGUUGUUCGGAAUUACUGGGCGUAAAGCGCACGUAGGCGGCUUUGUAAGUUAGAGGUGAAAGCCCGGAGCUCAACUCCGGAAUUGCCUUUAAGACUGCAUCGCUAGAAUUGUGGAGAGGUGAGUGGAAUUCCGAGUGUAGAGGUGAAAUUCGUAGAUAUUCGGCGGAACACCAGUGGCGAAGGCGACUCACUGGCCCGAUACUGACGCUGAGGUGCGAAAGCGUGGGGAGCAAACAGG
rnacentral:rRNA from 1 species